rnacentral:rRNA from 1 species
UACAGAGGGGGCAAGCGUUGUUCGGAAUUACUGGGCGUAAAGGGCGCGUAGGCGGCCUUCUAAGUCGAACGUGAAAUCCCCGGGCUCAACCCGGGAACUGCGUCCGAGACUGAAAGGCUCGAAUCCGGGAGAGGGAUGCGGAAUUCCAGGUGUAGCGGUGAAAUGCGUAGAUAUCUGGAGGAACACCGGUGGCGAAGGCGGCAUCCUGGACCGGUAUUGACGCUGAGGAGCGAAAGCCAGGGGAGCAAACGGG